CCUACGGGGGGCAGCAGUGGGGAAUCUUCCGCAAUGGGCGAAAGCCUGACGGAGCAACGCCGCGUGAUCGAAUGAAGGCCUUCGGGUUGUAAAGAUCUUUUCUAAGGGAAGAAGAAAGUGACGGUACCUUAGGAAUAAGCCUCGGCUAACUACGUGCCAGCAGCCGCGGUAAUACGUAGGAGGCAAGCGUUAUCCGGAAUGACUGGGCGUAAAGGGUGCGUAGGUGGUUUGACAAGUUAGUAGCGCAACUCCGGAGCUCAACUUCGGAACUACUACUAAAACUGUUGGACUUGAGUGCAGGAGGGGCAAUCGGAAUGCCUAGUGUAGCGGUGGAAUGCGUAGAUAUUAGGAGGAACACCAGUGGCGAAGGCGGAUUGCUAGACUGUAACUGACACUGAGGCACGAAAGCGUGGGGAGCAAACAGGAUUAGAUACCCGGGUAGUC
rnacentral:rRNA from 1 species